rnacentral:rRNA from 1 species
UACGUAGUUAGCCGGGGCUUCUUGGUCAGGUACCGUCUUGCUUCUUCCCUGCUGAUAGAGCUUUACAUACCGGAGUACUCCUUCACUCACGCGGCGUCGCUGCAUCAGGGUUCCCCCCAUUGUGCAAUAUCCCCCACUGCUGCCUCCCGUAGGAGUUUGGGCCGUGUCUCAGUCCCAAUGUGGCCGGUCACCCUCUCAGGUCGGCUACCGAUCGUCGCCUUGGUGGGCCGUUACCCCACCAACCAGCUGAUCGGACGCGGGUCCAUCCUAUACCACCGGAGUUUUCCGCACUGUCCCAUGCGGGACUGUGCGCUCAUGCGGUAUUAGCAGCCAUUUCUAGCUGUUAUCCCCCAGUAUAGGGCAGGUUACCCACGCGUUACUCACCCGUCCGCCACUAAGUCAUGACCCAUUCCGCCCGAAGGCCUCAUGGGUCAUGCUUCGUUCGACUUGCAUGUGUUAGGCACGCCGCCAGCGUUCAUCCUGAGCCAGGAUCAAACUC